rnacentral:lncRNA from 1 species
UUAAUUGGGUACCAUAAUGGGGUGGGCCCCACUCUAAUGAAUGGGAAAACGCCUCCAGGACCCUAUAAAAGGGGUCCUAGGGGUGUCCUCCAUUCUCAUCUUCACUUGACCAACCACACUCCACACUAGAGCAACCAAGAAGCCCGAAACGCCUACUCCCCAAGUGAGUCGCCGAUUCCCCUCCUCUUCUGCAGGUGUUUGACGUAGAGCG